rnacentral:rRNA from 1 species
AUGAAAAUUAGUGGAUGGAAAGAAAGAAUGUUAUCAGUUGGAGGGAAGGAAAUGCUCCUCAAAUUUGGUGUACAAGCUAUUCCCACCUAUGCUAUAUCUGUAUUUAAAAUUCCUAUUUUUUUAUAAAGGAAUCAUUGACGUGAUGUCACAUUUCUGGCGGGUGAUGAGGACAAUCGGAAGAUGAUCCAUUAGAUGGCCUGGUGGAAGAUGUGCAUUCCAAAAAACGAAGGAAGUAUGGGUUUCCGUGACAUACAUUGCUUCAAUCUAGCUUUAUUGGCUAAACAAGUGUGACAUCUACUUGAUAAUCCCUAUUCUCUAUGUGCUAAUAUAUGGAGAGAAAAGUAUUUUCUCUAUGUUGAUUUGAUGAAUGCAAAUUUAAAAAGGAUCAUCUUUUACUUGACAAAGUAUUAUACGAGAGUCAACUUUUUGAAGCAUUGGUAUAUCUAG